AGAGUUUGAUCCUGGCUCAGAUUGAACGCUGGCGGCAUGCCUUACACAUGCAAGUCGAACGGCAGCACGGGAGCAAUCCUGGUGGCGAGUGGCGAACGGGUGAGUAAUACAUCGGAACGUGCCCAGUUGUGGGGGAUAGCCCGGCGAAAGCCGGAUUAAUACCGCAUACGACCUACGGGUGAAAGCGGGGGAUCGCAAGACCUCGCGCAAUUGGAGCGGCCGAUGGCAGAUUAGCUUGUUGGUGGGGUAAAAGCCUACCAAGGCGACGAUCUGUAGCUGGUCUGAGAGGACGACCAGCCACACUGGGACUGGGACACGGCCCAGACUCCUACGGGAGGCAGCAGUGGGGAAUUUUGGACAAUGGGCGCAAGCCUGAUCCAGCCAUGCCGCGUGUGGGAAGAAGGCCUUCGGGUGGUAAACCACUUUUGUCAGGGAAGAAACGGUCUGAUCUAAUAAAUCGGACUAAUGACGGUACCUGAAGAAUAAGCACCGGCUAACUACGUGCCAGCAGCCGCGGUAAUACGUAGGGUGCAAGCGUUAAUCGGAAUUACUGGGCGUAAAGCGUGCGCAGGCGGCUAUGCAAGACAGAUGUGAAAUCCCCGGGCUCAACCUGGGAACUGCAUUUGUGACUGCAUGGCUAGAGUACGGCAGAGGGGGAUGGAAUUCCGCGUGUAGCAGUGAAAUGCGUAGAUAUGCGGAGGAACACCGAUGGCGAAGGCAAUCCCCUGGGCCUGUACUGACGCUCAUGCACGAAAGCGUGGGGAGCAAACAGGAUUAGAUACCCUGGUAGUCCACGCCCUAAACGAUGUCAACUGGUUGUUGGACGGCUUGCUGUUCAGUAACGAAGCUAACGCGUGAAGUUGACCGCCUGGGGAGUACGGCCGCAAGGUUGAAACUCAAAGGAAUUGACGGGGACCCGCACAAGCGGUGGAUGAUGUGGUUUAAUUCGAUGCAACGCGAAAAACCUUACCUACCCUUGACAUGUCUAGAAGUUUCCAGAGAUGGAUUCGUGCUCGAAAGAGAACUAGAACACAGGUGCUGCAUGGCCGUCGUCAGCUCGUGUCGUGAGAUGUUGGGUUAAGUCCCGCAACGAGCGCAACCCUUAUCAUUAGUUGCUACGCAAGGGCACUCUAAUGAGACUGCCGGUGACAAACCGGAGGAAGGUGGGGAUGACGUCAGGUCAUCAUGGCCCUUAUGGGUAGGGCUACACACGUCAUACAAUGGCCGGUACAGAGGGCUGCCAACUCGCGAGAGGGAGCUAAUCUCAGAAAACCGGUCGUAGUCCGGAUCGCAGUCUGCAACUCGACUGCGUGAAGUCGGAAUCGCUAGUAAUCGCGGAUCAGCUUGCCGCGGUGAAUACGUUCCCGGGUCUUGUACACACCGCCCGUCACACCAUGGGAGCGGGUUCUGCCAGAAGUAGUUAGCCUAACCGCAAGGAGGGCGAUUACCACGGCAGGGUUCGUGACUGGGGUGAAGUCGG
rnacentral:rRNA from 1 species